AACGAACGCUGGCGGCAGGCCUAACACAUGCAAGUCGAACGAACCGUUUACGGUGAGUGGCGCACGGGUGAGUAACACGUGGGAAUAUACAUUUCGGUAAGGAAUAACGUAGAGAAAUUUACGCUAAUACCUUAUAAUGACUACGGUCCAAAGAUUUAUCGCCGAAGGAUUAGCCCGCGUUAGAUUAGGUAGUUGGUAGGGUAAUGGCCUACCAAGCCUACGAUCUAUAGCUGGUCUUAGAGGAUGAUCAGCCACACUGGAACUGAGACACGGUCCAGACUCCUACGGGAGGCAGCAGUGAGGAAUAUUGCGCAAUGGGGGAAACCCUGACGCAGCCAUGCCGCGUGAGUGACGAAGGCCUUAGGGUUGUAAAGCUCUUUCAGAUGUAAAGAUAAUGACGGUAACAUCAGAAGAAGCUCCGGCUAAAUUCGUGCCAGCCGCCGCAGUAA
rnacentral:rRNA from 1 species